AGGGCCUUAGGGAGCCUGAGGGAGGCGCGGUUCCUGGGGGAAGGGUGUGGCGAGGCGGCGGCAGCCCGCGUGGCGCUGUGGCGCCCCAGCGAAGGGGCAGUGCUGGCCACUCGUGUGGCCCUUUGGCUGCUGGCACCCAGUGAGAGGGGGGAGGCCAGGGACAGCCUGGCCCCUUGCUGAGGCGUGCUUGCGCGUGUCCGUUGUCGCCCUCACCCAGCUGCUGUGGCGGAGAGACGGAGGCCAGCGCGGGGAGCGGAAGCCGGAGCCUGUCG
rnacentral:lncRNA from 1 species